AGUGAACGCUGGCGGUAGGCCUAACACAUGCAAGUCGAACGGCAGCACAGUAAGAGCUUGCUCUUACGGGUGGCGAGUGGCGGACGGGUGAGGAAUACAUCGGAAUCUACUUUUUCGUGGGGGAUAACGUAGGGAAACUUACGCUAAUACCGCAUACGACCUACGGGUGAAAGCAGGGGAUCUUCGGACCUUGCGCGAUUGAAUGAGCCGAUGUCAGAUUAGCUAGUUGGCGGGUAAAGGCCCACCAAGGCGACGAUCCGUAGCUGGUCUGAGAGGAUGAUCAGCCACACUGGAACUGAGACACGGUCCAGACUCCUACGGGAGGCAGCAGUGGGGAAUAUUGGACAAUGGGCGCAAGCCUGAUCCAGCCAUACCGCGUGGGUGAAGAAGGCCUUCGGGUUGUAAAGCCCUUUUGUUGGGAAAGAAAAGCAGCAGGUUAAUACCCCGCUGUUCCGACGGUACCCAAAGAAUAAGCACCGGCUAACUUCGUG
rnacentral:rRNA from 1 species